rnacentral:tRNA from 1 species
GGAAGGGUGGCUGAGCGGCCGAAAGCGGCAGGUUGCUAACCUGUUAUCCCGCGUAAGCGGGAUCGCGAGUUCGAAUCUCGCCCCUUCCG